rnacentral:rRNA from 1 species
UGCAGAGGGGGCAAGCGUUGUUCGGAAUUACUGGGCGUAAAGGGCGCGUAGGCGGCCUGUUAAGUCGAACGUGAAAUCCCCGGGCUCAACCCGGGAACUGCGUCCGAUACUGGCAGGCUUGAAUCCGGGAGAGGGAUGCGGAAUUCCAGGUGUAGCGGUGAAAUGCGUAGAUAUCAGGAGGAACACCGAUGGCGAAGGCAGGUCUCUGGGCAUUAACUGACGCUGAGGAGCGAAAGCAUGGGGAGCGAACAGG